rnacentral:misc_RNA from 1 species
GAAGCAAACAGGUUGAUACCUGAAGUCUGGAACAUUCAUGAAUAAAAACAUGCUAAACUAUAAUAAUAAAAUGCACUAGCAAAUAUGUGGAAACUAGCACGCCCAUAAAGCCUUAUGUACAAUGUUUCUGGAGGCAGAUAGUGUUAAAUUGCCGACAUGCUUUUGAAGUUUUUUAAAAUAGUUUGGUUUUGUGUGCUUUUUGUUGUUUAAUAUGGUUUUAUCAAUUUUCCUUUAGCAUUGAUAUAAUGGACUUAAUGUAAAUUGUUGCAUAAGGCUUGAACUCUACAUAUAGAUGCAUAAUUGUAGAAGUUUAAAAUCAGUAUUAUGAUACAUGUCUUCUGUUUGCAAUAUGCAUUGAUGAUAUUGGUGGUCUAUGAAAUCCAUGUUUUGGUCCUACCCAUGUGAAGUUCUAUCUAGACACCAUUCUUUUCUGUUAAUUGACUACAAGGAUUCUUGGCAUAUAAAAAAUCUGGUAGUUUAUGUAUGAAGGCAGAAGUUCCAAUGAAAAUCAGCAUGCUUUUCAAUGCUACACCCUUAACACUAACUACCAUUUUUAUUCUCACCUUAUGUUUACUUUAUGAA